GUCCGACAAUAUUAUUCUUCCAAGAAAAUGCUGGCAAUAUCGCUCAUCGUCUUGAGUUUGUCCGCAUAAUGCUACAGAGACUGCGGUGCAAUGUGUUUAUGCUCUCUUAUAGAGGAUAUGGGGCAAGUGAUGGCUACCCUUCACAGCAUGGCAUUACAAAUGAUGCUCAGGCAGCACUUGAUCAUCUAGCUCAGAGAAAAGACAUUGAUACAUCCAGAAUAGUUGUUUUUGGAAGAUCUCUUGGAGGUGCUGUAGGAUCGGUUCUUGCAAAAAACAAUCCUGACAAGGUUUCUGCUAUAAUAUUGGAGAAUACUUUCACCUCUAUUUUGGACAUGGCUGGAGUUCUGUUACCAUUCUUAAAGUGGUUCAUUGGUGGCAGUACAUCAAAAGGACUGAAGGUGUUAAAUUUUCUUGUACGCUCACCAUGGAGUACCAUUGAUAUUAUUGGGCAGAUUAAACAGCCAAUUCUGUUCGUAUCUGGUUUGCAAGACGAGAUGGUUCCUCCAUCUCACAUGCAGAUGCUGUAUAAGAAAGUGGUUGAGCAUAAUCAACAUUGUCUAUUUGUUGACUUUCCAAAUGGCAUGCAUAUGGACACGUGGCUUUCGGGUGGGGACCGCUACUGGAGAAUGAUUGAAUUGUUCUUGGAUCAAUGUGUUCCAGAGAUGCAAGGUGGCAAGUUGAGGCCCAAAUAUGAUGAGGAUGAGGGUAUUAAUCUGUCAUAUUAAAUUUUUGACAGCACAAGUUGCCAUGACCGUACAUGCAUACUUAGAUCAACUUACAAUACUAAGACGGUUGUCAUAAUGAGGCAAUAAUUCUGUAAAAAGCAUAUCUACCAUAAGUAGCUCCCAUGACUCAUAUACGGAGAUUCAAAUGGAUACACAUGGGACGCAAUUUGGAAACCUUGGGAUAUUUAUCUUUUCUGAUACCACAGCAAGAUGACCUGCAGUUGAUAAGAUGGAGUCUCCCUUUCUUCAAAUAUGUCAAUUCAUAUAUUUCUGCUGCAGCAGCAUAUCGGUCCACCAAUUUUGCUUUGAUUUCAAGCAUUACCAUUCUUUGUCGACAGUGUCAAAGAGAUGCCAAAUAUAAGCGUACACUGAACUGAUUCCUCCAGCCCAAACAUACUUACACAUUCUCACUAUGAGAUAAGAAGAUGCUGGUAAAAUACAGUCAUCCUUGUGGAUGUUUGCGUUGUUGUUUAGACCCUGAUUACAUGGAUCUGCUGGUAUGCGUGUGAUAAUUUUUUUCCAGUCUUUUUUAGUGUCAAAUUCCUUCCUACAGCUAAUUCAAGUUUGUAAUGUACUUCAAUGAUUGUUUAAUUCUGGAAAUAAAAGUACAGGUAUGACCUUUUGGGCAUUUGUGUAC